CCUACGGGGGGCUGCAGUAAGGAAUAUUGGUCAAUGGACGAAAGUCUGAACCAGCCAUCCCGCGUGCAGGAUGAAAGCCCUAUGGGUUGUAAACUGCUUUUCGCAGAGAAGAAACGCUUUCAUUAAUGAGAGUCUGACGGUAUCUGCAGAAUAAGCACCGGCUAACUCCGUGCCAGCAGCCGCGGUACUACGGAGGGUGCGAGCGUUAUCCGGUUUUACUGGGUUUAAAGGGUGCGUUGAAGGCGUAUUAGAAAUCUUGUCGCGUAACGAUAAAAUUGCCAAUGAUACUGGUACUCUUGAAUUGGGUGGAGGGUAGCGGAAUGUGACAUGUAGCGGUGAAAUGCAUAGAUAUGUCAUGGAACACCAAUUGCGAAGGCAGCUAACUGGGCCUUGAUUGACGCUGAGGCACGAAAGCGUGGGUAGCGAACAGGAUUAGAUACCCGUGUAGUC
rnacentral:rRNA from 1 species